CAAGAGGUAGUUUAAUUAGAAUAUCAGCUUUGGGUGUUGAUGGUGGGGCGUGAGCUCUUCUCUUGA
rnacentral:tRNA from 1 species